GACGAACGCUGGCGGCGUGCUUAACACAUGCAAGUCGAGCGGUAAGGCCCUUUCGGGGGUACACGAGCGGCGAACGGGUGAGUAACACGUGGGUGACCUGCCCUCAGCUCUGGGAUAAGCCUGGGAAACCGGGUCUAAUACCGGAUAUGACUCCAUGACGCAUGUUGUGGGGUGGAAAGCCUUGUGCGGCUGAGGAUGGGCCCGCGGCCUAUCAGCUUGUUGGUGGGGNGAUGGCCUACCAAGGCGACGACGGGUAGCCGGCCUGAGAGGGCGACCGGCCACACUGGGACUGAGACACGGCCCAGACUCCUACGGGAGGCAGCAGUGGGGAAUCUUGCGCAAUGGGCGAAAGCCUGACGCAGCGACGCCGCGUGAGGAUGACGGCCU
rnacentral:rRNA from 1 species